UUCAAGUGUGGAAAAGAAGGGCACCGAGCUUCAGAGUGUCAUUCGCAAACACCCGCCCGGAACCACCCACCGGGGGAGGGUCCUUGAAAACCGGGUCGGCGUGGGAAGGAGACUGCCCUGAGGAGCAGGGAGACCAUAGAAGUCCCAUCCCCUCCCCUCUUUGGGGAAGAAACCCUGGCAUCUGAACAGGAGGAAUCACACUCGUUCGGAAGCGAUCCAGAUGAUGAGCCACUGGUGGACCCUUUUGUUUUCUAAGGAGGGUAGCAUGUCAGAUCCCUAAAAGUGAUACUGCCAUUCAAGUGAAGGAAAGUGCCUAGAUGAAUUCAAGUGAAGGAAGGGGGGACUUGGAUUCGAUUUACUAGCAUGGCCUGUGUCAUCAGAUAUUUUACGACCUAUAUCCUGGCGCCAAGGAAGCCUGAGAUUCCCUUUACCUGAAGGAAUUUAUAUGAUAGCCAUGUGGGUUGUCUCACUUUAAAGGGAAGUGGUGGGAAUGCAUGUUUGUUCGGGUUCUCAAAGGAAAUAGUAAAGAAAACAUCUUCACACUUGUGUAUUGGCUGAAAUCUGCAAUCUGACCUAAAGGGAGGGGUCUCUACCACUUUAAUCCUACUGCUUUGCCUAAGGGCAUUCAGAUUGUGCUUUAGCUGGAUGGUUUUCACUUCUGCUUAAUAAAAGAAUCCUUUUGAAC